UACGUAGGGUGCAAGCGUUGUCCGGAAUUAUUGGGCGUAAAGAGCUCGUAGGCGGUGUGUCGCGUCUGCUGUGAAAACUCAGGGCUCAACUCUGAGCUUGCAGUGGGUACGGGCACACUAGAGUGCUGUAGGGGAGACUGGAAUUCCUGGUGUAGCGGUGAAAUGCGCAGAUAUCAGGAGGAACACCGGUGGCGAAGGCGGGUCUCUGGGCAGUUACUGACGCUGAGGAGCGAAAGCAUGGGGAGCGAACAGG
rnacentral:rRNA from 2 species